rnacentral:rRNA from 1 species
GACGUAGGGGGCCAGCGUUGUUCGGAAUUACUGGGUGUAAAGGGUUCGUAGGCGGUGUGGCAAGUUGGGAGUGAAAUCUCUGGGCUCAACCCAGAGGCUGCUUCCAAAACUGCUGUGCUUGAGUGUGAGAGAGGCUCGUGGAAUUGCAGGUGUAGCGGUGAAAUGCGUAGAUAUCUGGAGGAACACCGGUGGCGAAGGCGGCAUCCUGGACCGGCAUUGACGCUGAGGCGCGAAAGCCAGGGGAGCAAACGGG